rnacentral:rRNA from 1 species
GUGGGGAAUAUUGGACAAUGGGCGAAAGCCUGAUCCAGCCAUGCCGCGUGUGUGAAGAAGGUCUUCGGAUUGUAAAGCACUUUAAGUUGGGAGGAAGGGCAGUAAGUUAAUACCUUGCUGUUUUGACGUUACCGACAGAAUAAGCACCGGCUAACUUCGUGCCAGCAGCCGCGGUAAUACGAAGGGUGCAAGCGUUAAUCGGAAUUACUGGGCGUAAAGCGUGCAUAGGUGGUUCGUUAAUUCUGCCGUGAAAGCCCCGGGCUCAAACUGGGAACUGCCUCCAAAACUGCAUGACUAGAGUACGGUAGAGGGUAGUGGAAUUUCCUGUGUAGCGGUGAAAUGCGUAGAUAUAGGAAGGAACACCAGUGGCGAAGGCGACUACCUGGACUGAUACUGACACUGAGGUGCGAAAGCGUGGGGAGCAAACAGGAUUAGAAACCCGAGUAGUCC